rnacentral:rRNA from 1 species
AGCAGCCGCAGUAAUUCCAGCUCCAAUAGCGUAUAUUAAAGUUGUUGCAGUUAAAAAGCUCGUAGUUGAAUUUCGGGAUUAGUACGCUGGUCGUGCCUUCGGUAUGUACUGGUGUUACUGGUUCCUACCUUCUGACGAACCGUCAUGUCAUUAAUUUGGUGUGGCGGGAAAUCAGGACUGUUACUUUGAAAAAAAUUAGAGUGUUUAAAGCAGGCUCGCGCUUGAAUACAUUAGCAUGGAAUAAUGAAAUAGGACGUUCGAUCCUAUUUUGUUGGUUUCUAGGAUUGACGUAAUGAUUAAUAGGGAUAGUUGGGGGCAUUAGUAUUCAAUUGUCAGAGGUGAAAUUCUUGGAUUUAUUGAAGACUAACUACUGCGAAAGCAUUUGCCAAGGAUGUUUUCAUUAAUCAAGAACGAAAGUUAGGGGAUCGAAGACGAUCAGAUACCGUCGUAGUCUUAACCAUAAACUAUGCCGACUAGGGAUCGGAUGAUGUUAUUUUUAAUGACUCAUUCGGCGCCUUAA